rnacentral:tRNA from 1 species
GCGGGUGUGGUGGAAUUGGCAGACACGCUAGAUUUAGGUUCUAGUGACGAGAGUCGUGGGGGUUCAAGUCCCUCCACCCGCACCA